CCACAAGGUGCUUGUAACCUGAACAAGAAGCUUCCUGUUCAAAGGCACAGACCUGUCACUAUUGAUUACCUGCAAAGCACUGCCAGGACAGGCAAAAGUACUUGAGGUGCUAAAAGUGGCUCGGUUUUAUAUGAUCUCCCAUUAUCUCCUUACAAUGAAUUAAUAAAACAAUAACUUGUACCAAGUAGGGUGUUAUAUCAGUGAUUGCUCUUGAUAAACUAUUCUUUUAAGUAGCAGUGUGAUGGUCCAGGUUACAAGCAGGCUUCAGAAAAGGGGCUGCAGCCUGCUGAGAAGCGUGUACCAUGAGUAAAAUUAAUGCUACAUGUACUGUGAGUUUUACAUCCAGAUACCUGGACACAGUUCCCUUGCUUCCCAGAACGUAGGCUUGGCCCCACAAAACUCAAAAGGCAAUUUACCACAGUCCAAGAAAGGAUUAUGGGAUUGCCGAUUGCUUUCCCUCUCUUUACUUUGUUGUUUCUCUCAGUUUGCCCUGUGAGGAGCUUUGAUUUAGCUGCAGAAAGAGAAGUGGUUACCUUGGGAAGUGUGUAGGUGGGGUAGGCUUUGUCCCCUUAGCAAUGCUAAGCAUUGCUGCAGGAGCUGGUGCUGACACAGAGCUACUGCAACCUCUGAGCACUGGGCUUGAAAAACUCAGCCUCACACCCUGAUGGAGAGAUAAUUUGUGCCACUUCAACAGCAUCAUCCUUCACCGCUCCCACUGCAGGGACUGAGACGAGCGUUUCCAUGGUGCAGAGCAGCACUGCGCACGCCUCAGCGAAAUGGGAAACAAAACCCUCUUCUCGCUACUGGAACUGUGGCAGUGCCAGCAGAGUGAGCCAUGGCAUUCACCUCUCCCCAGCCACCAGACUGAGCCACGGGGGCUGCUCUUCCAGGAGGGCUGGAUCCAGCUGUAUCACAUCAUUCAAUUAGAAGAGCUGAAUGCUGUGCCUCAGUGUCUGCUGUGAAGUCUAAGGAGACUUAAGGACUGUUGACGACAGCAUAACUUUGCCAGAGCAGGAGAAUGAAGACAGCCUGGCAAACACUGCUGGUUUGCUAAUGAUGCUUAUCUGCUCUAGCAAUCACAGAGAAUUGGAAGUGGCAGAGGAGAGAGAAGAAAAUCCUUAGGGAAAUCAGUGUGAAAUAAACUUCUGGAGUUGCUCA
rnacentral:lncRNA from 1 species